UAGGUACGCGGGGCAAUCGCUCUUAAUUUAUUAAGGGAGGAAAGUCCGGACUCCUAACAGGACGGGUGCCUUACAAGGUUUCAAGUAAGGGGGGCGCAAGCCUACGGAAAGUGCCACAGAAAAUAUACCGCCUAUAUAGUUUCUAUAUAGGUAAGGGUGAAAACGUGUGGUAAAAGCACACGGAUAUAUAAAGUGAUUUGUAUAUCGGGUAAACCCCACCAGGAGCAAGACAAAAUAGGCAAGUUAUAAGUUUUCCUGUUCUUUUAAGCUUGUGGGUAUGUCGCAUAGAUAGAUGGUUGCCAUUUUAAUUUAUUUUAAAAUACAGAAUCCGGCUUACAAGUGUACCUAAAAG
rnacentral:RNase_P_RNA from 2 species